rnacentral:rRNA from 1 species
GACUCCUACGGGAGGCAGCAGUGGGGAAUCUUCCGCAAUGGGCGAAAGCCUGACGGAGCAAGAGGCAGCAGCGCCGCGUGAGUGAAGAAGGCCUUCGGGUCGUAAAACUCUGUCUUCAGGGAAGAAAAAAAUGACGGUACCUGAGGAGGAAGCCCCGG